AUGGUAGGUCCGGUUAAAAAUCAAACUGCAGCUGGAGAUGGUAUCCAAAUAAAACAGCGUAAAUAGUCACAAACAAACAAACGACCAAACAAACACACAGCUUAUUAUUAUUAUUGUCACCACUUUUCACAACUGUACGAAAUCAAAUAAAAGAAAAAGAAAAAAAAAGUAAUGAAAAUAAAUUUAUAAAAUUUGUGUAAAGAUGAAUAAGAAAAUUGAAAAUUUUCAAAGAUAUUACUUUUCUUAGUCUCACACCAAACUCUAUCACUGUGACAGCCAACUGCACAACGUGUUGUUAAAUGUUAUUGUUUUGCUGUAGUAAUUGUUGUUGUUGUUGUUGUUGUUGUUGUUUAUACGACGGAGAAACGUGUAUUUAUGUGCGAAGAUGCGUGCCCAUAAGGUUCUGGAAAGAGAGAGAGAGAGGAAAUUCACAAUUCACGGAGUCAUGUAUACGUGACAAAAUUUCCAAACAACAAAUAACGAUUAUACGUAGAGAGGCGGCGGGCACGCAAAAAGGCACGCACGAUGCAGAAAUUCGUUUGUCAAGCACUGAGUGAGUAAGUCUGAAGUCUUGUGCCGGCACCGCAACCGCCACCACCGACAACGACGACGACGACGACAACGUUGUUCCUCUUGUAUAGGUUAUGAAAAUACACCGCUACACGUUUCUCUCGAUAGAAUAAUCGACGUGAAAUUUAUCCCGAACACGCGAGAUGCUCGCACACAAAUGUAAAACG
rnacentral:misc_RNA from 1 species